UUCUUAUUGGAUGAUGACUGUCACGUGUCAUGUUCUGAUUGGAUGUCAACUCCAUGAAAGAUGAAAUGGAUUGUUGUUUUCAUUGACCAAUCACAACACGUAGCGGUCAACAUUU
rfam:Glycine max cultivar Williams 82 chromosome 15, whole genome shotgun sequence.